rnacentral:rRNA from 1 species
UACGGAGGAUCCAAGCGUUAUCCGGAAUUACUGGGCGUAAAGAGUUGCGUAGGUGGCAGUGUAAGUUGGUAGUGAAAUCCUGGGGCUCAACCCCUUACCCAUUACCAAAACUGCACAGCUAGAGGACGAGAGAGGUACUUGGAAUUCCUAGUGUAGGAGUGAAAUCCGUAGAUAUUAGGAGGAACACCGAUGGCGUAGGCAGAGUACUGGCUCGUUCCUGACACUAAGGCACGAAAGCGUGGGUAGCAAACGGG